AAUGCUAACUAAUUAAUAUCCAUCAAAAUGGAAACUUCAGUCUCCACCUUCAUUGCCAAAUAAAUUGUAACCUGCCUUAGUAGAAUCUCUAGUAUAGCCUCCCAUUCCAACAAGUUACUUGAUUCUUCAAUUUCAUGUACCAUGACCCUUACACUAGCUGUCAAUGUCGUUAAAUUUCAAACACAUUAUUGAGGUACUGAAGAAAGUAUAUUGGUGCCAAUAU
rnacentral:lncRNA from 1 species